rnacentral:rRNA from 1 species
GGACUACCCGGGUUUCUAAUCCCGUUCGCUCCCCUAGCUUUCGCGCCUCAGCGUCAGAAGAGAUCCAGCAAGCCGCCUUCGCCACCGGAGUUCCUGUGCAUAUCAACGCAUUUCACCGCUCCACGCACAGUUCCGCUUGCCCCUAUCUCCCUCGAGACCACCAGUAUCCACGGCCGUUCUCCAGUUAAGCUGGAGGAUUUCACCACAGACUUGGUAGCCCGCCUACGCGCCCUUUAAGCCCAGUGAUUCCGAACAACGUUCGCACGGUUCGUCUUACCGCGGCUGCUGGCAC